UACGGAGGGAGCUAGCGUUGUUCGGAAUUACUGGGCGUAAAGAGUACGUAGGCGGUUAUUCAAGUCAGAGGUGAAAGCCUGGAGCUCAACUCCAGAACUGCCUUUGAUACUGGGAAGCUCGAGUCCGGAAGAGGUGAGUGGAACUCCGAGUGUAGAGGUGAAAUUCGUAGAUAUUCGGAAGAACACCAGUGGCGAAGGCGGCUCACUGGUCCGGUACUGACGCUGAGGUGCGAAAGCGUGGGGAGCAAACAGG
rnacentral:rRNA from 1 species